rnacentral:lncRNA from 1 species
AUCAGAGAGGGAGAGGGACUAACCUCAUACCGUUGAUGUUCUCUAGACGGAAUUGAUAGAGCAGGGGCACUAAAGAAGCCUUCACUGAAUGGAUUCUGCAGACGAGUACAAUUAAUCAUGUUCAUCUUCUCUAUUGAAGGGAGGUUGUCCAACCCUGCAAUCUUGACCAGUUUUUGGCAAUUCCUAAGUUCAACAAUUUCAAGGUACUCUAAAUUUGAUAUUGACGGGAGUGUUUGAAGGUUCUCACAAUCAUUCAAAUACAAGGACAUCAACAAUUGUAACUUGGAAAAAUCAAAGGGUAGAUAGAGGAAACUGCUGCCGCUCAAAUCUAAAUGAUAUAAGUUGGAUAAACUCCCAAUAUCCCUAGGAACAUCAGCCUCUGAAAAACCACAAUAUGGAAGGCAUAGAAUCGAAAUAAAUUUUGACAAGGAUACUAUAGGGCGUACUCUUGUUUGAGAAAACCUCCUUUUGGUCUCAAAGUAUUGACCUCCCAUUUCCAAUUCUAUAAGAUUUCCUAGCAUUUCAACAGAUCCAGGCAAUUCUUUUAUACCUGUUUCACGUGCAUUAAGAAAUCUUAGGCUUUGCAUAUCUCCAAUGUCAACUGGCAGUGUUUGUAAAGAUGAGCAGUCAUUAAUGUACAAGAUUUCAAGGGAUUUUAGCUGACAUAUGCUGCUCCAAAGAUCAGUAAUCUUUUUGCAACCACUCAAUCGAAGACAAAUUAGUCUGUCCAAAUUUCCUAUGGAUGGAUGGAUCUCCUUCAGACUUGAGCAAUUCUCAAGCCACAAAGUCUCGAGACUUCGUGAACCGUUGAAGUUUGGAGUUUUUCUGAGGCGCUUGCAAUAAGAGAGAUCCAGCAUUUUCAAAUUUCUACAAUACUAAAAGUAAACAAAACAUAGUUUCAAUUAAGAUUUUCUUUCUCUUAAACAUUACACAUAAAAUUGCAGAAUUGAGUAACGAACCUGCAAAUUCAAACCAAAUUCUUGGAUAUUGCUCCCUUUCAUAUUCAGAAAUACAAGUUUCUCAGAUGGAAAAUUUGAUGGUACACAUUUUAACGGACAUCCUUUCCAAGACAACCAUCUGAGCUCCUUGGACAAUAGCUCAAAAUCUCCACUAAUAUGUAAGUGGUCUAUUUUAAGCACCCUAAGAUUUAUCAUUUUCUGAAAUACUUUGGUGCUUAGCUUCACACCCUUUAAUGCUUGUCGUUCUACCACCAAUAUUUCUACUUUUUUAGAACCCUGCAAUUUAGUAAAAAUAAAAGUACUAUAAGACCAUGCUUAAGUAUGACAAAUUAAGAAAGAGAAAUGCUUUAUACAAAUUGAAGGUCAAACAAAUAGAAUAAAUUAUGUACCGAUAAAAAUAAAUUUACACAUUAUAUCCAACUAAAGGAUAUUUAAUUGAUAAUUUUGUCUUUGACAGAUUGAGUGUUUAGACUUCAGUAAAUGUUCAUUUCAAGUACAGAAUGGUUCAAACAUCUAGAGAUACUUACUGGCCGGAGAAGAUUUAAGCACAAAUGCAUAAAUUAUAAGCAAAUGUAUAUCAAUAUAAAUGUAAAAAAGAAGAAGAAGUAUAACCAAGAUAAAGAUAAUAAAAUUUACUGACUUUAUUUCCUUGUAGAACAUCAAUGACUUCUUGAGGGUUGAACAAUCUACUCCGUUUUCCAGGGUCUUGAGAUUCCAUGCGAACGAUUUCUCUUCCCAUUUCCUGCACUAGAUCAUGCAUCACCAAACUAGACCAAUCAUCCCUUUGGAGCAAGUUCCUUUGGACUAAGGUUGAAUUGAACUUUCAGAAUAAAAACCACACGCAUUUAAUGUUUUGGCAACUUCAUCCUCAUAACAACCAUGGAAGGCACAUGCGAUAUCAAAGGAAAACACUCCGAGUAUUGACAUCAAGUCCAUCAAAGCUUAUCUUGAGAAUCUUUUGAAUAUCACCAUGAGGAAUUGCUUUUAGUUUUUUGAACUCGUAUCUCCAUUCUUUAACGGAUCUCCCUAGCAGAUGUGACCCCAAUGUCACAAGAGCUAAUGGUAGCCCACCUGAAUAUUUUAUUAUGUCUUGUGCCAGUUCAACAUAUUCUUGUGGUGGAGAAAAACAGUUAAAAGCAUGACAAGAAAAAAGUUGUUGGGCUUCAUUGUCAUUUAAAAGUUUGGCCCGGUAUAUCUCACUUGUUGUAAGCCCAUAUAGCAAAUGUUCAUCUCGGGUUGUAAUAAUUAUUACACUACCAGAGCCAAACCAACUUCUUUCUCUUGUUAAGGAUUCUAAUUGGCUUCUAUGAUCUACGUCAUCAAGAACAAUUAGAACCUUUUGAGACCCAAGUCUUGCUUUGAUGAGAUUAGCACCUUCAGCAACAUUAUCAACUUCAAAUUCCUUAGUUUUGAGGAUUUGAUUAAGUAGUUUCUCUUGAAGCUUGACUAGACCAGAUUCUUCAGUUUUUGAUCUAAUGUCAGAAAGGAAGCAACUACCAUCAAACUGUUGAAAUAUUCGAUUAUAGAUAGCUUUUGCCAAAGUUGUUUUUCCAAUUCCACCAACGCCACAUAUACCAACCAUGCAAACUUCAUGCUCACAUCCACUUUGCAGUAACAACUCUAUAUGUUUGAUAGGAGAAUCUAAUCCAGUUGGGUAAUGAGCAACAUCUAGAGGUGUCUGGUUAACCUCUCGCAGAACUUGUUUUAUAAUAUUUUCAAUAAAUUUUGCUUCAUGCCUACAGUUUUUGCAACAAUAAAUACUUAGGUAUUUAAAAAUAUUUGAUGAACAAAAUAAAAAUCAAUAGCCAAAAGAUAAAAGAGUUUAUAGAAUGGAGAAUAUAUUCCUUGUCCCUAUCUAUAUGACACAGUUUGAUUUGACACAAAAUUUAAGAAAUAUAGAAAGACUUUACAAUGUUCCAAAAUUAACCAAGUUAUAAGCUUAGGCAAACGCUUAAAUUCAAAAUUUAAUAGUUGAAUUAAGAAGUCUUACCCAUCAGCAACAUUUCUCAAAUCCCAUCCAGAUAAAUUUGCUGCUUCAGUAAGUGCAGCUUUCCACUUUUCCAUUCUUUCAGCUCCAACAAAUCGUUCCUUAUGUUUUGCCAAAGCUUCGUCAAAGGAUCCAGUUUGCCUUCGCACUUGAGAAGGAUCAACAUCAUAGAAAAUAGGCAAAACUACCUGAUUUAACCUCUCUUUGCAAUCGAGAAUUUUGACAAGUUCAUCAAGACACCAACUAGAGGAAGCAUAAUUUUUGGAGAAAACAACAAUGGCAACCCUAGACUGUUCAAUUGCUUUCUCAAGUUCAAUUGAAAUGACGUCUCCCUUUCUCAAUUCCUCAUCAUCUAUGAAAGUAUUAACUCCAACUUGACACAAUCGGAAAUAAAGAUGACCUGUGAAGUUUUUCCGAGUAUCUUCACCUCUGAAACUGAGAAACACAUCAUAAGAUAAGUUGGAAGAAGAAGAUGAUUCUCCUACAACAAAUUGAGUAUUCAUAUUUGAUGACAAUAAAUUAAAGAGAUUUUUAGUCAAUUUUUUGCUUAAUUAAUUAAAUAGAGAUGUGAAGCAGCUAUUUAUAUACCCACAAGUACUUGUUUGUUCCUGGAAAUUUAAUUUUGGGUCAAGUCAUUUACAAGCCCCAAAGAAGGUUUACAGAAAUGAAAGGGAAGUUUCCAAGACAUAAUAUGUCUAUUCACUUUUAUUUGUCCAGCUAUUAAAAGUAGAUAUACAAUUUACUUUCAUUUCCUUCGUAGAUUUUUACUCAUUCACACUAUUAAAAAUAAUGAUCAUUUUUAUAAUGUAUUUUUUCAUCAUAUUAAUAUGCAAAAAAUUGUAAUUUAUAAUUUUUUUAUAGUUUUUGAAUAUUUAAAUUUUUUGUUUAAAAUAUCAAAUUAAUACAAUCUAAUUUAAUUUUGAAAAUUAAUUAAAUUGACUUUCGAAAAUGACAAUAUGAUAUAAAUGAGAGAAUACCAAAAGAGCUGGCAAAUUUCCACCAAAACUUCGCAAGUGGAAAUUAUUAUUAUCUUAAAGUUAUGAACUCACAUCUACAAUUAUUAUUUAGUUUAUUAUAUUUAAAUAAAAAAGAGGAAAAGUCGGAAGUUGUAAAAUUUUAAAUGACAAGUAGAAUGUUUCAACAUGAAUUUAUGAUACUUUAAUAAGCAAUAUUCGUUCUGUAAUAAAUUAAUCGCAAAGAAUUGAUUAGGAAUUUGGUUGAAAAUAGAAAUGGUCCAAUUCAAGAUGAAACUAUUAGAAUUGACCUUUGGUGAGGAAGUAAAUUAAAUUACUCCCUUCGUCUAUUUUUAUUUGUCUAGUAUUAACUCAUGCAAUAAAUAAAACAAAAACAUGAUCGUAUUUGUUCCUGUAUUCUAACAAAAAAGUUAUAUUAUUUGUCAUUUGUUAUACUUCAGAGUCAUAUUUAUCCUUGAGACAUUAAAUCUCCAUGACCCGCCUUAAUUUAACGCAGAAUAGGACGAACACUCUUCUCCAAAGUCCAAGCUAAGACUGUUUCCAUUACUAAAAAUCAAUAAAUUACACAGUUCGAUCACUUACAAUGUUCUCUGGUAUUGUAGGUUAAUCAGAGAGACACUAUAUUCACUAUACAAAGAAAAAGUUGAUCAAUUUUUAAAACUAAGCUUUAGUGCAACUCUACAUACUAGCACUAUACAAUGGAAAAAUUGGUUACAUAAAUUAAACAAAAUUUUCUAUAGAAGCUACUGCUAUCGAAGCUCGAUGCUCCAUUGUUCAUACCUAAUAAUGGCUUUGUAGCCCUAUAAUAGUACACAUUCUACUACAUCCAUCUUCCCAUCUUCAUUGACAUCAUUUUCCUCUUCUUGUGGGCUUUAUGCUUUUCUGCAAUCCUCAGCCUCCUCUUGGCGUUUCUCAUUGGAUUGACCUUCUCUUCUUGUUUCCUCUUAUCCCUCUUCGAUUUGAUAUUCUUCCUUAUAUGACUGUAGAUUUGGACAAAAUAUGUGUUCCUAUAACAUUGCUUAUGCUCCCUCGCACUCCUUCAGCCAGUUGUUUCACGUCAUCUGUGGAGAUGAUGCAAACGUAAUGUCACGCCCCGAGCGUACACCCUGGGCAGGACCGGCACCCGGAGACCAUUUCUGGCCCCAAGCGAACCCUUGGCCUGGCUUUCUUAACUCAGCGGAAACCUAACCCAACAGAAUAACUCAAUGCAAUGCAAUAUUACAAAACAACUUAACUUAUAAAAUAUGGCCAUAAAGGCAACUCGAAUCUCAAAAUAGAAUAUUUACAUAUAUAUAUAGAUGAGAGACUCAAAACUAACUGACUGACUGUCUGUCUAUGAAGCCUCUAAAAUACUGAGAUGGAUGUUGGGACAGACCCCGCAACACCCUAAUAAGACAAAACUAAGAGAACAAAAUAACUAAGCCCUCCGGAAGCAAGGAGGCUCACACUGACUCUGGAGUGCUCAANNNNNNNNNNNNNNNNNNNNNNNNNNNNNNNNNNNNNNNNNNNNNNNNNNNNNNNNNNNNNNNNNNNNNNNNNNNNNNNNNNNNNNNNNNNNNNNNNNNNNNNNNNNNNNNNNNNNNNNNNNNNNNNNNNNNNNNNNNNNNNNNNNNNNNNNNNNNNNNNNNNNNNNNNNNNNNNNNNNNNNACAAGGAUACAAUAAGCCUGAGAUGUAUAUAGAAAUACAAUUAAACUGAUGUAUAUAAAAAAAUACAAUAAUCUCUGUGUAUGAAAAUACAAUAACUGCUGUGGGAGUUUCUCUAACNNNNNNNNNNNNNNNNNNNNNNNNNNNNNNNNNNNNNNNNNNNNNNNNNNNNNNNNNNNNNNNNNNNNNNNNNNNNNNACUUUGGCUCAUAUGUUUUAAAAACAAACUUCUUUCUUUAGUUUGAGAUAAUUGCUUAAAACCUAGCCCAAAGGCUCUCUUGGAAUCAAUGUUCCCUUUACUUUGCUCAAAUGUGAAAACAUUUAUAAACUUCUUUGGGAAUACUUAGUUCCCUAAUAGCUUUUGAGAAAUGAACUCAACUUUAUGCUCUUGACUUACUUGAAACUUGAGACUCUUUACUUAGCUUGAAACUUUAAACUCUUUACUUGACUUGACACUUGAGUCUAAAAAUGAAGUUAAAACGUUCAAUAAAGACUCUUGAACAACUUUGCAACUUGCUUACCUUGCUUAACUUCUAAGCUUAACUCUUAAUUUCUAACUUCACUUGACUUCUAACUAACUCUCCUUGAAUUGGAAUUUUGGAUUCAAGGUGUUUGAUCACAUGUUAUGGAUGAGUUCUUGACUUUUAGAAGUACCUUGGAGUGUUGGAAACAACUAGGAAACAUAGGUAUAAUACCUAGGAACAUGUAUGAAAAAAGUGGUGAAUGAAAGGGAAGGAUUGGUGUCCUUGGCACUAGGAGAGGUGCGACAGCCCAGCCCUUUGUUCCCCAAAAAUCCGACUUUUUCCCCUUGUUUCUUUCCAAUUCUAAACCCUCUCAACCUCAAGGUUUCAGCAACAACACUUAGAAUCAUAAAGACCCUUAUUAUACAAUAGAUUCAACUCAAAAAUCACAGCCGGAAAUUUGUACUAAACCAGCAAGAACUUCAACACAACACCACUACAACUUCAACAACCAAUAAAUCUUCUCUUGGAAUUAAAAACGAGUUGGUGUGUGGGGGUAUGAACCAACCAACNNNNNNNNNNNNNNNNNNNNNNNNNNNNNNNNNNNNNNNNNNNNNNNNNNNNNNNNNNNNNNNNNNNNNNNNNNNNNNNNNNNNNNNNNNNNNNNNNNNNNNNNNNNNNNNNNNNNNNNNNNNNNNNNNNNNNNNNNNNNNNNNNNNNNNNNNNNNNNNNNNNNNNNNNNNNNNNNNNNNNNNNNNNNNNNNNNNNNNNNNNNNNNNNNNNNNNNNNNNNNNNNNNNNNNNNNNNNNNNNNNNNNNNNNNNNNNNNNNNNNNNNNNNNNNNNNNNNNNNNNNNNNNNNNNNNNNNNNNNNNNNNNNNNNNNNNNNNNNNNNNNNNNNNNNNNNNNNNNNNNNNNNNNNNNNNNNNNNNNNNNNNNNNNNNNNNNNNNNNNNNNNNNNNNNNNNNNNNNNNNNNNNNNNNNNNNNNNNNNNNNNNNNNNNNNNNNNNNNNNNNNNNNNNNNNNNNNNNNNNNNNNNNNNNNNNNNNUGAUUUGUGAAAAGACCAAAAUGCCCUUAAAUUUUCCGGACGGAUUCCCUGCCAACUGCCCAACUUUCAAAGGGCAUAACUCGCUCAUACGAACUCGGAAUCGAGUAAUCUCAAUGGCGUUGGAAAGAUCAUUCCACAAGCUUCGCAACCAUAACUGGAACUACUCCUAACUCAUCCUGAGCUAGGAGUUACGACUGACUCAAAGUUGGCCAAAAUCACUGAUUUCCACACUUAGCCAAAUUUUCCAGAUUUUGAAUUUUUCCAAAUUUCCAGAUUCUGGACUGCCAAAUUUCCAGAUUUUAAAUUUUUCCAAAAAUGACUAUUUCCAAAUUCAAGCUUCUUCAUAUUCAUUUUAAAUUGUCGGAUGUUACACGUAAUCAUCAAAUAUAUUAAGGACUACAAAGUUAAUCACUCGGAAGCCAAAGAGGAAGUGAAGAACAUUUGUAAAUGCAGCUAGCACUUUGCAUAUAAGAUAGUAUGGGCAGACACUUGAAACAACAAGUUUGCAAGAGAUUGAAUGAGAGACCAUACCUGAUAUAACUUUUCCAGCAAAUCCUUCACAAACUUUGUACAGGGGCAACAGCAUAUGAUAUGCAAAGCUUUGGCAAUCAACCUCACCUUCAGGGGACAACAAUCUACUCUGAUCUAUAAGCUUUGGUGAAACUGAUUUGAAACAAUUGAAGAUAAUUCUCAUCUGCAAAAAAUUGUGCACAUUCCACAGCAUGAGAACAGGCACUCCUAGCACCAUAUAUGGGAGAGUAAGGCACAAAAUAUUUUUUUUGGAAAACAACGAGAAGGUAAAUUACAUAGCAAUGACUAGGCUAAGAAAUUUUUUGCGAGUCGAGCAAACAGAGAUAUCCUUAAUUAAUCACCCACCUGCAUAUCCUCCACAUGAAGGGAAAUCUUUCCCAUUGUCUUAAGCAAAUAAGAAAUGACCAAGUAGCGCUGGCCUUCAUCUUCUUGAUCGCUAAGGUCAGACACAAGAGACAGAUAGAUGUUUUUCCCUUUCCUUGAAUCAAGCUGUUGAAAAGCCUUAAGCAGAAGACCCUGCUCGUCAUGUUCAAUGGUGGACCAGAACUCAUCUUUACAUUCAUUUUUUCCUAAGAAUGAAUGCAGAGAGCAAAUUGAAAAGACAAGAUUUUGAGUAAUGAGAUCACUGGCAGCAUCAUCAGUCUGCAGCACCUUCAGCUGACAACAAAGAGAAGUAGCUACGAAGAAAAGUCUACUUGGCCUCAUCAAAAAGUAAGUUUCUUGUGGCAGUUCAAGGUUUUCUUUCCAAGCCUCAGUCACAGUGGCAAAGUAGCAAGCCACAAGACGGUUUGAUAUGUUGCGCAACCACAGAUGCGGAUGCAAAAGCAACUCACAGAUUGCUUCCCACAGAUCCUAUGAGAUGUCAAUAAAAAUAAUAGUCAGAAAACAAAUAUGAAUUUAUCCAAAGAACAGGACAAGUUAUUGGCAAUCUGGAAAUGGGAGUGUGGUAGCUGUGGAGCGUACUUUCCCCAGUACAACAAUAACAUACCUAGUGAAAUCCCACUAAGUGGGGUCAGGGGAGGGUAGAAUGUACGCAGUCCUUACCACUACCUCGUGGAGGUAUAGAGGCUGUCUCCGAAAAACCCUCGGCUCAAGUGCAUCAAACCAAAGUAAAAGUAUCCUCUUCAAACUUUAAGCCCAGUAUACUAUUCAAACUCUAAGCACUUGAUUUUCAAAUACUUCUUAACUUUACACCUAGUCUGUAGUUGCAACUAUCUUUUGGCAUGCUGCCUAAGUUUGAGGACUAAAGCAAUUUCACCUAAGUGGUUGUAGCCACACCAAAAAGUAAUUCAUUUCUUAAAUCUAUCACAAAGCAAAAUGAGGUCCAGCGGUUUUCACAUAAGUCCCCUCGUACAUAUGCUAAGUAGGACAUAUUAUGGAUGACUUGGUUUUAGCCCUAUAUUUUAAGACCAUAGCUAAAAUAAUGAAAUACANNNNNNNNNNNNNNNNNNNNNNNNNNNNNNNNNNNNNNNNNNNNNNNNNNNNNNNNNNNNNNNNNNNNNNNNNNNNNNNNNNNNNNNNNNNNNNNNNNNNUAUCAUAAUCAAGAUCUCCCAACUCUACAGUAGACGUGGCAUUCAAUUCACGAAGAAGAUUUGCCUGUAUGAAAUUAAGAAGUGUUACACGUCAACAAACACCUAAAGCAACAAGUUCAAAAGAAAACUAGAUGGUCUAGUAAUACCGUAGGAUGUACAGAAGAAUCAUUCCCUGCGACAGCAUCAAGAACAUCACAAAUAGAAGUACGGACAUCCAAGCCAGCAGAAAUUACGAGUGGAGAAACAGAUUUGACGGUCUUUUUACUGCUUUCACUACCCAAUGGUUCUACAAUAUCCUUAAUAAUCUGUAAAGUGCCUACACAAAUCUCUGCAACCAGAAAGAAAGGUAAUCUUAGAAAAAGAGCAAGGACAUGAGACCAAACAGGUCCACCAAAACUGUAAGACAAAACUCAGAGACUCUGACCAGGGUCUUUGGAUCUCUUUGACAGAAGCGGAAGCAAGAUGUCAAGAAACUUCCUUGCAGCCAAUGGUCCCUUUAUGUGCUUCGAUAAAAGCUUGAAGACAUUGAGCUCUUUUUCCCCAGGAUAUUUGACAAUCUUCCUGGAAAAGUGAAUACAUCAGUUAAGAGGAGAACUGAUGCUAGUGCAUCUCAUAUAACACUUAAUUACAUAAAGAGCAUGCUAAGUCCACUUAGCCAUAUAGGGUGGAUGACACAUACACAAGAAAAUAAGUAAGAAACCUACUUAUUCUCCGGAGAAGCAUUUUCCAAAAAGACAUUUUAGAGGCAUUGUUAUCAUUUGGUAGAUCCAGGUCCAUGACCUAUUUCGAUGGAACACAUUUUCCAUGGUACAUAACACAUUCUCAGAAUUUCGCUCAUUGAUAUCCAUUGAUACGGACCUCACUUGUGGGAUUUCACGGGAUGUGUUGUUGCUUGAGUUGAUAUGCCCUGCUGAAAGUCUUUGUGGGUAGGAGGGAGUAUAAGAAUGAUCCACAACUCCCGGCAAAGUUGUAACAUUACCAUGUUGAUCUAAAUGUAAUAGAUGUACUCCUAUCUUCUUUACUAUGGCUCCGCCACUGCUAUCCUCUACUCUUAUCUGUUCCCCGCCUUUGAUGUUCAGGCCUUUAAAAGGUCUAUCAUUUGCGUAAGGUAAGUAAUAUACACAUGAUACUUCUCCGUGACCAUCAGGUAUAUCAAAAGGCAAAAUCCAUGAAAAACUCUUUUUAUGGGAAACAGUAACAACAAGGUGUUCAAGCUCAUGUACAUCGCAAAGGCGGCAAACAAACCAGAGAACCAUUCCUAAGAACUUGUUAUUAUGUACUGUGGGCAUAGUCAAACAGAUAGAUGGAGCUGUUACUUUAUUGCUGCACCAAUCUGGAAUCUCAUUGCUUUCGAGAUUAAUUUGUAACAACGACUUCAUCAGACAAAUUAAGACACAAUUAGAUCAUUAAUUAUUAAUGUGAUACGAGAGAGAGAUCAGAGAGGGAGAAGGACUAACCUCAUACCAUUGAUAUUUUCUACACGAAAUUGAUAGAGCAGGGGCACUAAAGAAGCCUUCACUGAAUGGAUUCUGCAGACAAGUACAAUUAUUCAUGUCCAUCUUCUUUAUUGAAGGGAGGUUGUCCAACCCUGUAAUCUUGACCAGUUUUUGGCAAUUCCUAAGUUCAACAACUCUAAGGUACUCUAAAUUUGAUAUUGAUGGGAGUGUUUGAAGGUUCUCACAAUCAUUCAAAUACAAGGACUUCAACCAUGGUAACUUGGAAAAAUCAAAGGGUAGAUAGAGGAAACUGUUGCCGCUCAAAUCUAAAUGAUAUAAGUUGGAUAAACUCCCAAUAUCCCUAGGAACAUCAGCCUCCGAGAAACCACAAUAUGGAAGGCAUAGAAUCGAAAUAAAUUUUGACAAGGAUACUAUGGGGCGUACUCUUGUUUGAGAAAACCUCCUUUUGGUCUCUAAGUAUUGACCUCCCAUUUCCAAUUCUAUAAGAUUUCCUAGCAUUUCAACAGAUCCAGGCAAUUCUUUUAUACCUGUUUCACCUGCAUUAAGAAAUCUUAGGCUUUGCAUAUCUCCAAUGUCAACUGGCAGUGUUUGUAAAGAUGAGCAGUCAUUAAUGCUCAAGUAUUCAAGGGAUUUUAGCUGGCAUAUGCUGCUCGGAAGAUCCGUAAUCUUUUCGCAACCAUUCAAUUGAAGAUCAGUUAGUCUGUCCAAAUUUCCUAUUGAUGGAUGGAUCUCCUUAAGACUUGAGCAAUUGUCAAGCCACAAAGUCUCGAGACUUCUUGAACCACAGAAGUUUGGAGUUCUUCUGAGGUGCUUGCAAUCAGAGAGAUCCAGCAUUUUCAAAUUUCUACAAUACUAAAAGUAAACAAAAUAUUGUUUUAAUUAAGAUUUUCUUUAUCUUAAACAUAACACAUAAAAUUGCAGAAUUGAGUAACGAACCUGCAAAUUCAAACCAAAUUCUUGGAUAUUGCUCCCUUUCAUAUUCAGAACUACAAGCUUCUCAGAUGGAAAAUUUGACGGUAUACAUUUUAAAGGACAUUCUUUCCAAGACAACCAUCUGAGCUCCUUGGACAAUAGCUCAAAAUCUCCACUAAUAUGUAAGUCGUCGAUUUUAAGCACCCUAAGAUUUAUCAUUUUCUGAAAUGCUUUGGUGUUCAGCUUCACACCCUUUAAUGCCUGUCGUUCUACCACCAAUAUUUCUACAUUUUCAGAACCCUACAGUUUGGUAAAAAGAAAAGUACUAUAAGACCAUGUUAUGUAUGAUAAAUUAAGAAAGAGAAAUGCUUUAUACAAAUUGAAGGUCAAACAAAGAAAAUAAAUUAUGUACCAAUAAAAAUAAACUUACACAUUAUAUCCAACUAAAGGAUAUUUAUUUGAUAAUUUUGUCUUUGAUAGCUUGUUUAGACUUCAGUAAAUGUUCAUUUCAAGUACAGAAUGGUUCAAACAUCUAAAGAUACUUACUAACCGGAGAAGAUUUAAGCACAAAUGCAUAAAUUAUAAGCAAGUGUAUAUCAAUAUGAAAAAAGAAGAAGAAGAAGUAUAACCGAGAUAAAGAUAAUGAAAUUUACUGACUUUAUUUCCUUGUAGGACAUCAAGGACUUCUUGAGGGUUGACCAAUCUACUCCGUUUUCCAAAGUCUCGAGGUGAUUCCAUGCGAACGAUUUCUCUUCCCAUAUCCCGCACUAGAUCAUGCAUCACCAAACGACGCCGAUCCCUUUGGAGCAGGUGUCUUUUGACUAGAGUUGCAAUUGCAGUUUCACAAUAAAAACCACAGGGGUUUAAUGUUUUGGUAACUUCAUCCUCAUCACAUCCAUGGAAAGCGCACGCAAUAUCAAGGAAAACACUCUGAGUAUUGUCAUCAAGUCCAUCAAAGCUUAUUUGGAGAAUCUUUUGAAUAUCAAAAUGAGGAAUUGUUCUUAGUUUUUUGAACUCGUAUCUCCAUUCUUCAACGGAUCUCCCUUGCAGAUGUGACCCCAAUGUCACAAGAGCUAAUGGUAGCCCACCUGAAUAUUUUAUUAUGUCUUGUGCCAGCUCAACAUAUUCUUGUGGUGGAGAAAAACAGUUAAAAGCAUGACAAGAAAAGAGUUGCGGGGCUUCAUUGUCAUUUAAAAGUUUGGCCCGGUAUAUCUCACUUGUUGUAAGCCCAUAUAGCAAAUGUUCAUCUCGAGUUGUAAUAAUUAUUACACUACCAGAGCCAAACCAACUUCUUUCUCUUGUUAAGGAUUCUAAUUGGCUUCUAUGAUCCACGUCAUCAAGAAUAAUUAGAACCUUCUUUGACCCAAGUCUUGCUUUGAUUAGACUAACACCUUCAGCAACACUAUCAACUUCAAAUUCCUUAGUUUUGAGGAUUUGAUGAAGUAGUUUCUCUUGUAGCUUGACUAGAACAUAUUCUUCAACUUUUGAUCUUAUGUCUGAAAGGAAGCAACUACCGUCAAACUGUUGAAAUAUUCGAUUGUAGAUAGCUUUUGCCAAAGUUGUUUUCCCAAUUCCACCAACGCCACAUAUACCAACCAUGCGAACUUCAUGCUCACAUCCACUUUGCAGUAACACCUCUAUAUGUUUGAUAGGAGAAUCUAAUCCAAUUGGGUAAUGAGCAACAUCUAGAGGUGUUGGGUUAACCUCUUGCAGAACUUGUUUUAUAAUACUUUCAAUAAACUUUGAUUCAUGCCUACAGUUUUUGCAACAAUAAAUACUCAAGUAUUUUAAAUUAUUUGAUGAACAAAAUGAAAAUCAAUAGCCAAAAGAUAACAGAGUUUAUAGAAUGGAGAUUAUCCCUUGUCCCAAUCUACGGUUUGAUUUGACACGAAAUUUAAGAAAUAUAAAAAGACUUUACAAUGUUCCAAAAUUAACCAAGUUUUAAGCUUAGGCAAAUGCUUAAAUUCAAAAUUUAAUAGUUGAAUUAAGAAGUCUUACCCAUCAGCAACAUUUCUUAAAUCCCAUCCAGAUAAAUUUGCUGCUUCAGUAAGUGCAGCUUUCCACUUUUCCAUUCUUUCAGCUCCAACCAAUCGUUCCUUGUGUUUUGCCAAAGCUUCGUCAAAGGACGAAGUUUGCCUUCGCACUUGAGAAGGAUCAACAUCAUAGAAAAUAGGCAAAACUACCUGCUUUAACCUCUGUUUGCAAUCGAGAAUUUUGACAAGUUCAUCAAGACACCAACUAGACGAAGCAUAAUUUUUGGAGAAAACAACAAUGGCAACCCUAGAUUGUUCAAUUGCUUUCUUAAGUUCAAUUGAAAUUUCGUCUCCUUUUCUCAAUUCCUCAUCAUCUAUGAAAGUAUUAACUCCGACUUGAUACAAUCUGAAAUAAAGAUGACCUGUGAAGUUUUUGCGAGUAUCUUCACCUCUGAAACUGAGAAACACAUCAUAACAUAAGUUGGAAGAAGAAGAUGAUUCUCCUUGAGUAUUCAUAUUUGAUGACAAUAAAUUAAAGAGAUUUUUAGUCAAUUUUUUUGUUUAAUUAAUUAAAUAGAGAUGUGAAGCAGCUCUUUAUAUGCCCACAAGUAAUUGUUUGUUCCUGGAAAUUUAAUUUUGGGUCAACUCAUUUACAGGCCCCAAAGAAGGUUAACAGAAAUGUAAGGGAAGUUUCCAAGAUAUUUCAUAGACAUGUUGCGUUCAAUUUUAUAUGUUAUAAUAUUAAAAAUAGAUAUACAAUUUACUUCCACUUCUUCCGUAGAUUUUUACUUGUUCACAUUAUAAACUAUAGUGAUCAUUUUUAUUUGUACAAUUUAAAAAUAAUCAAAAAUAAGAACUUUUAAUUUAUUUAUUUUAAAAUGUGUCAUACUUCCAAUAAUUCACUUAUGAACCAGUGAGAGUAGAUAAUGAGUGACUUGCUUUCACAUUUAUUGUCAGCACAACUCUAUCAGUCUUCUUUUUUUUUCAUCACUUUCACACUAUCGACAAGUGGAUUGACAUUACCAUGUUGGUCUAAAUAUAGCAGAUGGAUCCCUAUCUUUUUUAUUGCAUCUUUGCGAAAGAACAAAUAGUCAGACUCGUGAACUGUUACCUUUGAUCAUCUGGUCAACAAAAGGACUAGUUAAGCAAGAUAUGUAAUAUACACAUGAUACUUCUCUGUAUUGUCCGAUCGAGUAUAUCAAUAUCACAAAUUCUUGACAUAGAUACUCUCUCUCUAUCGGAUACAGCAAUACUGAAGCGUCCAAAAGUGGAUGAAAGUCUCUUAAAGUCGCAAAAAAAAACAGAGAAUCAUUCCUAAGAACUUGUACCCCUUAUCAUGUACUGUGGGCAUAGUGAAACAGAUAGAUGGAGAUGUUACUUUAUUGCUGCACCAAUCUGGAAUAUCAUUGCAUUCGACACAAAUUCGUAAAACUUGCUUCUUCAGAGUGUGAAAUGACAGAGCCUGGGCACCUUGAUUGAACGAUCUCCUUCAUCCUUGAGCAACCUUGAAGCUUCAAAGUCUCGAGACUUGUUGCACCGUUGAAGUUUGGAGUUUUUUUGAGGGCCGAGCACCAAGAGAUAUUCAGCUCCUUCAACCUUGGGCAACACUAAAUGUCAACCAAGUACAUUAAUAUUCAAGUUAUACAAGACUAUUUUGUAUAAUUUCACUAGUCAAUGAAAAAUGUAGAAUUGGGCAACAAAUUAAACCUGCAAAUUCAAGCCAAAUUUUUCGAUAGCACUCCCUUCCAUAUUAAGAACUACAAGAUUCGCAGCUGGAAAAUUUGGUGGAAUAUAUUUUAAAUGACAUCUUUGCCAAGAUAACCAUUUGAGCUCCUUGGGAAAAUGCCACAAAUCUCCAUGAAUACGUAAUCCAUUGAUUAUAAGCACCCUGAGUUUCUUCAUUUUCUUAAAUGCAUCGGUGCUAAACUCCACUCCCUCUAAUUCCCCUGGUUCAUCUAACCUCAUUACUUGUACAUUUCCGAAACUCUGUAGUUCAGAGAAAAUGUUUUAAUUAGGACUAAGAAUUGUAACACGACAUACAAUUAAAUUAAAAAGGAACAAGGAUUUACUCACGUUUUUUCCUCGUAAAACAGCACAGACUUGUUGAGGUAUGAAUAAUCUACUCCGUUCUACAAGGCAUUGAGAUUCUGAGCGAACAAUUUCUCUUCCCAUAUCUCGCACUAGAUCAUGCAUACUUACACAACCCCCAAGUACCCCUUGGAGCAACUGUUUUUGGACUAAAGUUGCAAUUUCACAUUUAGUGUGAAAACCACAUGCAUUUAGUAUUUCAGUUUUCUUGAGAGUCUUUUGGAUAUCAUCAUGAGGAAUUUCUUUUAGUCUCUUGAAUUUGCGUCUCCAGUUUUCUAUGGAUUCCCCUCGAAAAUGUGAACCCAAUGUCACAAGUGCUAAUGGUAGCCCACCUGAAUAUUUGAUUAUGUCUUUCGUCACCCCAACAUAGUCUUUAGGUGGAGAAAGACUGUCAAAAGCAUGACGAUAAAAAAGUUGCUGAGAUUCAUUGUCAUUUAAUUGGUUGAUCAUACAUCUUUUUGCAUUAAGCCAACUUAGCUAAAGCUCGUCUCGGAUUGUAAUAACUAUUAUACUACCCAAACCAAACCAUUUCUUUUCUUUUGUUAACGAUUCUAAUUGUUUUUUUGUGUCCACUUCAUCAAGAACAAUUAGAACCUUCUUUGACCCCAGUUUUCUUUUGAUUAGAUUGAUUCCUUCAGCAACACUGCGAACUUUGUACUCGUUGGUUUUGAACAGUAUAUUGAGAAGUUUCUCUUGUACACUUUCUAGACCAAUCUUUUUUUCUAGCAAUCUAACAUCAGAAAGGAAGCAACUACCAUCGAAGAUAAAUAAUCGAUUGUAGAUAUUUUUGGCCAGAGUUGUUUUCCCGAUUCCACCAACUCCAUAUAUACCAACCAAGUGAACUUCAUCUACGUGUCCAUUUUGCAAUAACGACUUUAUAGGUUUAGUACGAGAAUCAACUCCAAUUGGGUAAGAAGCAACAUGUAGAGGUGUAUGGUUGACCUCUUUCUUCAUAUCUUGUAUAAUCAUUUCAAUAAAUUCAGCUUCAUGCCUACCAAUAUUUUUACCAAAAAACACUCACAUGAUGGGAGGUGUUACGCUUUAAAAUAGUUGCCUAUCUAUGGAUGGCAAUGGGGCGGUGCGGGACGGGGCGCGUUGAGCUUAAUCUAUAAAAAAUUUAAUUCGCUCUGCAUAACAAUUUUUUUCAUUUUCAACCUGCCCCGCAUGAAACUCCCCACAUAGUUUUUUUAAUAUUUUUCUUUUCUAGUUAAGUUUGACACUAAAAAUAAAAUUCAUAAAAAUAAAUUCAUUUUUUCAUUAAGUUGUAUUAAUUUAAUAGAAAAUGACCUAAAUUUUAUUUUUUAGAAGUCAAUUGGUAAACAUGUAAGAAAUUGUAUUAAUUUUUAUUGAAUCAUUUUCAUUUACCAUCUUGAAUAUUUUAGUAGCUUUAGAGAAAUUAUCUUAAUAAAUAAUGUUCUAUCACUCUUAUAGCAUGUAAAAAGUUAAAAUUAAAUUGAAUCCACAUAAUGCCACAUAUUCCGGCAACCCCGUCCCACAUAGCCUUAAAUCCACUCCAUCCCGCAUCCGCCCCGUUUCAUUGUUAUCUAUGGCUAUCAAACGACCCAAAAUUGUUAACAGAAAUAAAAAGGAAGUUUCCUAAGAGGUACUUUCUCUUUUGGGUAAUAACCAUAGUUAAUAGUAUAAUUAAAAACAUUACAUUUCAUCCUUGUAGGAAAUUACUUAUGGGGUUCUUGAUAGGCAAUCUUACUGUGGAGGAAAGUUGAUAGAAAUUGAAUGGAAACAUUCAAAUUCUUUUUCUUUUUAAUUGAAUGGUUUUCACAUUCUAAAUUUUCUCUACCCACCAAAGGUCAAUUCUAAUAGUGGUUGCAUCUUGAAUUGGACCCUUUUUAUUUUUAAACAAAUUUCUUAGUACACAAAACAAAUAUAUUGCUUACUUUAAAAGCAAGGUAUCAUAAAUUCACGUCGAAACAUUGUACUUGCCCUUUAAAAUUUUACAACUUAUGAUUUUCAUCUUUUUUUAAAAAAAAUAAUGCAAGAAAUAUGUCAUGAUGUUCCACUAUGCCUUUAUAAAUCUCCAUUUAUCUUUGUUUUGUUUGUUUAAUCGAAAUUUAAUCUUCUUACUGUUACGAUUACCAGAUUUUACACACUACUUGCCUAUUCUUUCUUCUUCUAACCUUUUCUUUUCCUUUUUGAAUAUUUUCUUUUAAUAUUAGUAUUUCUUUUGAAUGGUCUAACCAGUAGUUGAACUUAGAAGCUUUCUUUGGUUAUGAAACCAAAUUAAUAUUAUUUACCUUAUUUAGAGGUAUUGCCACUAUAAGUAAUACAACGAUUAACUAUUUUAUGCAAAACUUUCGUAAAUGUGCUUUUACAUAAAUUUCCAUUCAGUGUGACACACACGAAGUAAAACCACAUGUUUCUUCUUUUUGCAUUCCAAAAAAAAGGAAGAAUAUUCUUCUCCAUUACUAAAAAUCAAUAAAUUACACAGUUCAAUCACUUACAAUGUUCCCUGGCAUUGCAUGUUAAUCAAAGAGACACUAUAUUCACUAUACAAUGAAAAAGUUGAUUCAAUUUUUUAAACUAAGCUUAGUGCAACUCAACAUACUACCACUAUACAAUGGAAAAUUUGGUUACAUAAAUUAAACAAAAUUUUCUAUAGAAGCUACUGCCUAUAUCGAACAACAAAAUUUUCUAUAGAAGCUACUGCCAUCGAAGAUCGAUGCUCAAUUGUUCAUACCUAAUAAUGGCUUUGUAGCCCUAUAAUAGUACACAUUCUACUACAUCCAUCUUCCCAUCUUCAUUGACAUCAUUUUCCUCUUCUUGUGUGCUUUAUGCUUUUCUGCAAUCCUCAGCUUCCUCUUGGCAUUUCUCAUUGGAUUAACCACAGCAAUGACCUUCUCUUCUUGUUUCCUCUUAUCCCUCUUCGAUUUGAUAUUCUUCCUUAUAUGACUGUAAAUUUGGACAAAAAUAUGUGUUCCUAUAACAUUGCUUAUGCUCCCUCGCACUCCUUCAGCCAGUUGUUUCACGUCGUCUGUGGAGAUGAUGCAAACGUAAUCAUCAAAUAUAUUAAGGACUACAAAGUUUAAUCACUCGGAAGCCAAAGAGGAAGUGAAGAACAUUUGUAAAUGCAGCUAGCACUUUGCAUAUAUGAUAGUAUGGACAGACACUUGAAACAAUAAGUUUGCAAGAGAUUGAAUGAGAGACCAUACCUGAUAUAACUUUUCCGGCAAAUCCUUCACAAACUUUGUACAGGGGCAACAGCAUAUGAUAUGCAAAGCUUUGGCAAUCAACCUCACCUUCAGGGGACAACAAUCUACUCUGAUCUAUAAGCUUUGGUGAAACUGAUUUGAAACAAUUGAAGAUAAUUCUCAUCUGCAAAAAAUUGUGCACAUUCCACAGCAUGAGAACAGGCACUCCUAGCACUAUAUAUGGGAGACUAAGGCCCAAAAUAUUUUUUUUGGAAAAACAACGAGAAGGUAAAUUACAUAGCAAUGACUAGGCUAAGAAAUUUUUUGCGAGUCGAGCAAACAGAGAUAUCCUUAAUUAAUCACCCACCUGCAUAUCCUCCACAUGAAGGGAAAUCUUUCCCAUUGUCUUAAGCAAAUAAGAAAUGACCAAGUAGCGCUGGCCUUCAUCUUCUUGAUCGCUAAGGUCAGACACAAGAGACAGAUAGAUGUUUUUCCCUUUCCUUGAAUCAAGCUGUUGAAAAGCCUUAAGCAGAAGACCCUGCUCGUCAUGUUCAAUGGUGGACCAGAACUCAUCUUUACAUUCAUUUUUUCCUAAGAAUGAAUGCAGAGAGCAAAUUGAAAAGACAAGAUUUUGAGUAAUGAGAUCACUGGCAGCAUCAUCAGUCUGCAGCACCUUCAGCUGACAACAAAGAGAAGUAGCUACGAAGAAAAGUCUACUUGGCCUCAUCAAAAAGUAAGUUUCUUGUGGCAGUUCAAGGUUUUCUUUCCAAGCCUCAGUCACAGUGGCAAAGUAGCAAGCCACAAGACGGUUUGAUAUGUUGCGCAACCACAGAUGCGGAUGCAAAAGCAACUCACAGAUUGCUUCCCACAGAUCCUAUGAGAUGUCAAUAAAAAUAAUAGUCAGAAAACAAAUAUGAAUUUAUCCAAAGAACAGGACAAGUUAUUGGCAAUCUGGAAAUGGGAGUGUGGUAGCUGUGGAGCGUACUUUCCCCAGUACAACAAUAACAUACCUAGUGAAAUCCCACUAAGUGGGGUCAGGGAAGGGUAGAGUGUACGCAAUCCUUACCACUACCUCGUGGAGGUAGAGAGGUUGUUUCCCUAGUCUCAAGUGCAUCAAACCAAAGUAAAAGUAUCCUCUUCAAACUUUAAGCCCAGUAUACUAUUCAAACUCUAAGCACUUGAAUUUCAAAUACUUCUUAACUUUACACCUAGUCUGUAGUUGCAAACUAUCUUUUGGCAUGCUGCCUAAGUUUGAGGACCAAAGCAAUUUCACCGAAGUGGUUUUAGCCACACCAAAAAGUAAUUCAUUUCAUAAAUCUAUCACAAAGCAAAAUGAGGUCCAGUGGUUUUCACACAAGUCCCCUCGUACAUAUGCUAAGUUGGACAUAUUAUGGAUGACUUGGUUUUAGCUCUCCUAUAUUUUAAGACCAUAGCUAAAACAAUGAAAUACAGCAGCACUAGCACUAAUGAAAUAAAGGAUAGAGAGAGAAAAUAUAGUAAUUUUUUUCUUUCUACAGAGACUAAUAUCCAUUCUAUAGAGGAUAGAUAUAGAAGAUAUUUUAUCUUUUUAAAUUCUACAAAAACAAACAUCCAAUAUGUGCUAUAGAGUAUCAAAACAAUGUCUCAAAGGCAAUUCAACCAGUUAUGAAUAUCCAUUAGCUCCAUUUUAUCCCAAUAGAAUAAGUCUGGAUGGCAGGCAAAUCUUAUAAAUGUUCAUAUGUUGUUGUUGUUGUCUUAUUUACAGAAGUAAUCAGUUAGUACCUAGUAGUAGUCACUUUAAUUUCUAACAUAGGAUUAAAAGAAAGGAAUAAAUACCUCAAGAUCCUUUCUGAAGCACAACUUAGGAAAUUGAUUUAAUAUCUUCUCAAACAGAACCAGUGAAUAAUAUGCUUCUUUCCAAGAUGAAAUCGUUGCAUCAUUCGGUAGAUCCACUUGCUUAUUUGUAAGAACAUUAACAGCAGAUUGCAAGAUGUUUCUCAUAACAGGUAGGAGGCUAUCAAUAUACUUUUGGAAACCAUCUUUAAGUCCUUCAAUGAGUAACCCCAAAACCUGUAAAAGAAAUAAUGAAGUCUUGAAACAUGUUUUUCUAUUUUUUGAUGAGGAAGGAGUUAUAUCUCAGAUUCAUGACAAAAUAAUGACGUCAGUUUUUGUCCAUUCUUCCGGCUAUUUAAUUCAUAGUUCAUAUACAUAAACGAAUAUGAAAAAAGUGAAUGACAUAUGGAACUUGUAAUCCUUCUUCGGUAUUUCCAAACUUGCUCCACGAUGGCAUAAUGUAGUUGAAUAAAAGAACAGUUUGGGGUUUUCACUCGUUUACCUGUGCUGCAGCACUCCAUAAAUGUGGUUUAUCUCCCAGAUACCAGGACCGACUAAACUCAAGAAUUGACUGGAGUGAACGGGGGCUGACUCGUCCAACAAGUAACUUUAUGACUGUACCAGUCAUUGAACGGACUCUGUUGUCACGAUCAUUCGCCAGACAAACCACCAAAUGCAGAAAAAACGUCUGAGAUUGUUCAUCUAUGAUGCUAACUGGGAAUUUCAUUAUAACAGCAUGAAGCAUUUCAAGGAUAGCUUCUCUUCCAGUUGAAUGCUCAUAUCUGAAAAAUUCAAAAACAUCAUUACAGAGAUGUCACCAUCUAUAAAUUUUACCAAAUGAAAUUAUUGAUUGUGCCCUUAUGUCCUUGCCUUAAGUUUGAAAGUAAGAAAUCAAGAUGUUGUUGAAGACGUUUCUCAGAUAUAUGGUAGUCCAGUAAAAACUGCAGCAAAAUUUGGCUGCUUUUCUUACGAAUUGAUUCAACUUGACUAGUCACCAUCAACACUGCAAGAUUUCUGCAACUACCAACUUCCUACUCACUAUUGCUUUCAACAGUGAGAGAGCCACAAAAGAGGGAUUUCUUUCAAGAUCAACAAAAAGAGGAAACUGGAUUAGCAUAUGCAGUUGAUCAGUAGAAAGUGUGAUCUUAGUGCUACGCAAAAGCACAGUUAGCAACUUAACGCAAGACUCCAAUAAUGGAUUACUGGAAGUUACUGAACCUUGAGCAAUAUUCAGUAAUGAAUUCUUUAUCUUCUCUGCCUGAGAUUCAAGAGAUGGCAAAGGGAGCCUCACCAGAGGAGAUAAGCACCUAAGUGAGGCAGACAUGACAUUCUCAUAUUUUGAGUUUAAGCAUUCACCCAAUAAUCUUACAAAUGGAUCUAGCAUUGACAACAACUGCUCAUCUUUCUUGUCAAAUUUCAUGUUCUUCAUGUAAUUCUGAAGCACUCCAAGAGCAAAUUCAGUAAUAAGAUGGGAAUAUCGUGGAUCAACGCUGACCAACUUAUCUGAUUUAGCAAUCUGGCUGCUUACUCCAUCUUUCUUUUGCUUACCUUCCAUUAAAGUCGAUGUCUCUGCAUGCCCUGGAGAUUCAUCUUUUAUGCCAUCUUUGAUCAGACCAUAUUCAUAGAUAAAGAGUUCUGUCUGGUUAACGGAAGGAUUACACUGUAUUCCAGCAGCUAUAUGAGAGAACAUAUUCUCAAAUUUUGAUUUUACUUUUGGAGUCAGCUGCUUCUGUAGAUGCUUAAGAAUUGGCGCAAGCAGCUUCAGAGCAUGUGUUUUGAAUGUGAUGCUUUGGGCAAUCAAUUUAAGGGUAUCAUAUGACUUCUGCUUCCUAGUCUCUUCCAUCUUUGAAGCAAUCUUCUCAACCUCUUUCUCCUCUGAAAUAUCACUAAGUAUAUCAUUUAUUGCAAUCGAGAGAAGAUCCUCUAAACAAAAAUCCAGCUUCCCACUACUGGGAUUUAGAAGAAAUUUUGAUAGUAGAAAAUUGAGAGUGAAUCCCAAAACAUGCAAUUCAAAUCCUCUCUUCAGAGUGCCUCUCAAGACUUUGACAACAAAUUGCAAGUACUCCAGCCCUAGUUCUUUUAAACAAGCAGCCAAAGCAGCUCUGGCUUCAUCACGAACACUUUCCAAACGAUUCUUAAGGAAAUUCGCUAUGCGAUGCAUCAUAGAUGGAAGGUGCGAUUCCAUGAUGUCUCCCGAAAUUCCGCAAUAACACCUUUUGUUUAUCUGGUUUCAGUGUCAUCUCCCGAAAGCAUCUAUUGAGUAAUGCAUAAUACAAUCUCCAGUCCAUGAAUUUAGAAAUUGAUCCAACAGCUUCCAAACAUGCACUUCUAAUAUUUUCACCCUUUCCAACUUGUCCAUCAACCAACAUUUUAAAGAGAAGAGGGAUAAACACUUUAUUUAUGAGAACCUGCACCAGAAUUAUUCCCAACUAUUAGUACAGCUUAGCAACACAGAGCACAAAUUGAUGCUUAAAGAAAAAGGCAAGUAACCACCUUAGACAGAUUCCCGGAAUAUGUAACUCAUCGAUUUUAAGCACCCUCAAAUUUUUCAUUUUCUUAAAUGUCUUGGUGCUCAGGUUCGCGCCUUUUAAUUCCCCUGGAUCUACCACCAGUACUUCUACUUUUUCGGAACCCUGUAGUUUCAGCACAUAUUAAUUGAACAAAAGCAAUUAUAAGCAAAUAUUUAUCAAAUUAUUGAAAAAAAUUAAAAUCACGAAAGAUAAAGAAUCUACUGACUAUAUUUCCUUGUGGAACAUCUCGGACUUCUUGAGGUUUGAACAAUCUACUCUGUUUUCCAGAGUCUCAAGGUGAUUCCAUACGAACAAUUUCUCUUCCCAUAUCUCGCACUAGAUCAUGCAUCAUCAAAUAACGCCAAUCCCUUUAGAGCAAGUUCCUUUGGACUAAGGUUGAAAUUGCACUUUCAGAAUAAAAACCACACGCAUUUAAUGUUUUGAUAACUUCAUCCUCAAAAAAUCCAUGGAAGGCACACACGAUAUCAAGGAAAACACUUUGAGUAUCACAAUCAAGUCCGUCAAAGUUUAUCUUGAGGAUCUUUUGAAUAUCACAAUGAGGAAUUGCGUAUCUCCAUUCUUCUACGGAUCUCCCUUGUAAAUGUGACCCCAAUGUCACAAGAGCUAACGGUAGCCCACCUGAAUAUUUGAUUAUGCUUUGUGCAAGCUCAACAUAUUCUUGUGGCGGAGAAGGACUACUAAAAGCAUGACAAGAAAAAAGUUGUUGAGCUUCAUCUUGAUUUAAAAGUUUUGCCUUGUAUCUUUCAUUUUCUCUAAUCCGAGAUAACAAAUGCUUGUCUCGGGUUGUAACAAUUAUUAAACUACCAGAGCUAAACAAACUUCUGUCUCUUGUUAAGGAUUCUAAUUGGCUCAUAUGAUCCACUCCAUCAAGAAUAAUUAGAACCUUCUUUGACCCAGGUCUUGCUUUGAUUAGAUUGACGCCUUAGCAACACUACUAACUUUGACGUCCUUAGUUUUGAGAACUUGAUUUAGUAGUUUUUCUUGUAACGUGACUUGACCAAAUGCUUCAGCUUCUAAUCUAACAUCUGAAAGGAAGCAACUACUAUCAAAUUGUCGAAAUAUUUGAUUGUAGAUAGCUUUAGCCAGAGUUGUUUUCCCUAUUCCACCUACGCCCAUAUAUACCAACCAUACGAACUUCAUCUGCACUUCCUUUUGGAGUAACAACUCUAUAUCUUCGACACGAGAAUCUACUCCAACAGGGUGCCAAGAAACAUCUAGAGGUGUCUGGUUUACCUCUUGUAGAACUUGUUUUACAAUACUUUCAAUAAAUUUUGAUUCAUGUCUGUAUAUUACCAAAAACAACAGUUAGAAUUAAAAAAAAAAACAACUUUGAUAUGUGGAAAAAAAAUAAUUGAUAACCAACUUAUGACUUUUGACUGAUAAGUCAGUGUGACCAGCUUAUAAAUAUUACCCGUCAACAACAUUUGCAAAUCCCAUCCAGAUAAAUUUGCAGUUUCAGUAAGUGAAUCCGUCCAUUUUUUCAUUCUCUCAACCUCGAAUGAUCGUUCCUUAAGCAUAGCCAAAGCUUCACCAAAGCAUCCGGUUUGCUUGCGUACAUGAAAAGGAUGAACAUCAUAGAAAAUAGUCAAAACUAUUUGCUUUAACUUCUCUUUGCAUUCAAGAAUUUUAACAAGUUCAUCAAGACACCAACUAAACGAAGCAUAAUUUUUCGAGAAAACAACAAUGGAAACUCUAGAUUCUUCAAUUGCUUUCUCAAGUUCUGUUGAAAUCACCUUACCUUUUCUUAAUUCCUCGUCAUCUAUGAAGGUAUUAAUUCUGACUUGACAUAAUCUAGAAUAAAGAUGACCUGUGAAGGUUUUUCGAGUAUCUUCACCUCUGAAACUCAGAAACACAUCAUAAGAGAAGUUGGAAGAAGUAGUUGAUGAUUCUCCUACAACAAAUUGAGUAUUCAUAUUUGAUGUGAAUAAAUGGAAGAAUGAGUAGCUAUAUAUAUAAUAUACCAUGCACAUUCUAUGGUUUUUUCUUGGUAACUUAACUAAUGCUAUAUAUUCUUUAAUUUAUUUUGUACAAUUAUUCUUCAUUAAAUUUUGUUAAUUGGGAUUUUUUUUAAAUUGAUUCUUUACCUUUUGUCUCAUCUUUAAUUUGUUAAAGACUUGAAUGAUAAAAAUUUAAAGUAAGAUUCUUUCUUCCUUAACAACUCAAAAGUUCAUCUCUCCACAUAAUUAUGAUGAUGUUAAGCUUGAUGUCAUAAUCUUUUAAUAAUGGAAUUGAAAACAUCGAUUUGUUCUCAAUUCACAAGUUGGAUUAAACGUUUUUUUUCUUUCUUUUUACCUAAGUAUCACAUAAAUUAUAACGAUAAUUUUUUAAAAGAAAAACAAUUUGUAUUAAUAGUAAAAACUAGGAAACUUUGUCGUAAUAAAGCUAACUACUAGUCUAUUGCAACUAUUAAACAACUAGAGCUAUCAAUAUGGGCUGACCCAUCCCAUCCGGGUUAAUCUAUACAGGUUUUGAAAUAUGACGGGUUAGGCCGGGCUAGCCCAUUUUUGGUGUGGGCCAGAAAAUGGUCGGUCCAACCCACAAGUACGUGGGCUAGGGGCUUGUCGGGCCAGCCCUCUUUUCGUAAAAGUAUAUUUUUUAUAAUUUUUUAAAUUAAAUUAUAAUUUAAAAAUAUUAUCAUAAAUAUCGACAAGAUAGUAUUACACGGUGUUAGUGUUGACACCUAAUUUUGACCCUCCACAAUAAGAAUUAAUUUGUGAGCUUUCUUAAUUCCAAACGAUUUGAAAUAACUAAUUUUAUAAAAAUUCAAAAUAUGUUUCAAAGAUAUUUUAGGAAUUUUAUUCACUUUUAUAAUAUUUUAAAUAAUAAAUAUGUUUUAUAUUGUUACGUAUGUAACUAAUAUAUUUUAUAAACACUUGAAAAAUAUCUUGAAAAAGAUUUUUUUUUUUUUAUUAUUAUUAUCAUUUAUUUUUAACGUUAAACACUUUACUAAUUUAAUUUAGUUUGAAUUAUAGGUAUGUUUUUGAAUUAAUUAGUUUGAUUGAGUUAAUUAUUUUUUAGUUUGUUAAAUUUAAGAAGCUUGUUAAUUGAUCUUGUUUAAAUUCAUCUCAUUUAGCUUUUGCCGAAUUUGCUAAUUAAAUCCGAUUUAGCUAACUUCCUAAUUCCCAUUAGGUCAUAAUUGCUUCCAUGUGGCUUAAGCCAAUUUAAAUCUCACUUGGACCAAAUCUAAGAUCAGACUUGGGCAUGUCCUCAAUUUCCAAUUCCCAAGCUCAUUUCCCCUUUGGUUUCCAAUUAAGCCGAGCCCAACCCAUCCUUCUCCAAAUUUCCCGACCCAAUCCAACACAACUGACCCGACCCGGCCCAUUCCAACUCUAAAAGAAACUCAAAUGUCCUUCUCUUUUCCAAGGUCCCAGAAGCAGUUCCAAACGUUCACAGACCGACAAAGCAACAGCAGUCCACGGCAUCCUCACGAUGAGAGACGAUUCCAAAGGAAUCAACACGGAAUAUUCGAAUCACAAUAACCAACGACGUCAAUUCCGAUACACGGCGUGAAAGCAUGGAGAUACACGCAAGCAGUGAGGAACGAGACGGACAGAGGGCAGUACUAUUCCUUGUCUUCUUCCUCCAAUGUCUCUCUCAACCAGUACUAUGGCAGUAGCACGCGGUUUUCACCUUUCCUCUUUCGGAAUGGGGCGAAAACCUCAGAAGAAGGGUGUGUGUCCGAAUUUGUGAAAGGUUUUUGGAAUUCAAAUUUAUGGGACUUGAAUCCGAAAUUGCAUUUGUCCUUUCCCCCCACAAUCUACCCUAAUUUUCCCAUAUAUAAUCAUCUCUUCUAUUAAGUCUUAAGAAGUCAUUAAGUCGGUUAGUUAGCUCAUUAAUUUAAUAGUCAGUUAGUUAGUUAUUAAAAUCUGUUGUAACUAACUACACUGCUUGUAACUAACUACACUGCAGAAAGCCAGCUAAGGCAUCGUGUAUAAAUAGACAUUCAAUUGUCAUUGUUGACACAAGAAAUAAAAUUCCUUUCUAUCCUUUGUUCAAAGUGCUCUCAAUUCAAUUGUUCAUCAUCUGUGAUUGAUGAAAGUUAACAUGGUAUCAGAGCAGUGAUCAUAAGGGAUUGAUCUGCGUAGAAGAGAAGAACCCAGAGGUGCUGAGAAGCUGUAGAAGAAGCUCCUGAAACAAGCAUCAAUGGGGACUAAUGAAGUUACAGAUCUAAGUACAACAAUAGGAACAAAUGAGAUUACAACUCUAAAUCACAAUCACCCGCUUUAUCUCCAAGCUUCAGAUGCACCUGGAGUAGUUCUGGUUCCAAUCAAAUUAACAGGGCCAGAAAAUUACGCUUUAUGGAGCCGAUCGAUGAAAUUGGCUCUUAGAGGAAAAGGGAAACUUGGAUUCAUUGAUGGAUCUUGUGCGAAGACAACUUAUAAAGGAGGAUUAGAGGAACAAUGGGAGAAGUGCAAUGCAAUAGUACUGUCAUGGAUUGCGAGCACAGUUACGAGUGAAUUACUGCCAGGGAUUAUAUACGCUUCAAAUGCUAAGAGAGUUUGGGAAGAUUUUCAGGAGAGAUUUGAUAGAUCAGAUCUCACUAGAAUUUACCAUUUGUGGUCAGAAAUUGCAGCUCUCAAACAAGGUACUGAUUCUGUGACCUCUUACUACUCGAAAUUGAGAGAUUUAUGGGCUGAAUUAGAAGUAAUGGUUCCAUCACCUGGUUGUACAUGUGCGGAUUCAACUUCUUAUAUGGAGCAUUUAAGAUCUCAGAAACUGUUGCAAUUCUUAAUGGGAUUGAAUGAGAGUUUUGGACAUAUCCGGAGUAGCAUUCUAGCUAGGAAGCCUGUAGUGACAGUAAAUGAAGCAUAUGCAGUUGCAGCACAAGAAGAAAGUCAAAGAGUCCUAGGUGUUUUGGAUAAAAGCAGGGAUCCGUUAACACUUUUAGCAGGGAAAACUCAAGGAUAUAGAUCAAAGCCAAAGAAGUUUGUGCCACCAGGAACAAUUUGCGAUCAUUGUGGUUUCAAAGGCCAUUUCAAGGGUGAUUGUUAUAGGUUGGUAGGGUAUCCACCAGAUUUUCAAAGCAAGAGAAGAGGACCUGAUGGUUUUAAGCCAGAUUUCAAGCCAAAUGCACACUUAAGUAAGAAUACUGAUGAUCUCACCAACAGAGGAAAGCUUACUGAAAAUUAGGGGUCAUCAUCUCAAUAUGAGGAUUUGGGAAACAAAGUGGGUCGAGCAGGAAUAUCAGGAUGUGUUGCUAACUUGUCAGGUAUGAAUUCUUUAGAUUUCAAAACAGACACAGUUUAUGAGUGGAUAAUUGAUAGUGGAGCUACACAUCAUAUUACACCUAAUGAGGAGUUAUUAAUUGCCAAUAAAAGAACACAUAAUAGUGUUGGAGUUCAAGUUCCAACAGGGAAGAGGUGUGACAUCAAGAGUAUUGGAGUUGUGAAGAUUUUAGAAGGGGAAGAACUUCAGAAUGUGUUGUAUGUGCCAGAUUUCAAAUUUAGCUUGUUAUCAGUUGCAAAGCUAACCAGGGAACUUGCUUGUUCAGUUUCUUUCUAUCCUGACUAUUGUAUAUUUCAGGGACUUUACAAUGGCAAGGUAUUGGGGAUUGGUAAAGAAAAGGAAGGACUAUACAUACUAGAGAAUCAACUAAGGUCAAUAGUUCAUGCUGUGACUGUUGACAAGGGGAAUGGAGAUACAAAGCUAUGGCACUUAAGGCUAGGACAUGCUUCACCUGGAGUUCUAAAACACAUCCAGUCUUUGAAACAUCUCUCAAAUAAAGAGGUGCAACAUAACUGUGAGAUAUGUCCUUUAGCAAAGCAAUGUAGAUUGAAAUUUCCUAUUAGUACAAGUAAAACAUUUGGAGUUUUUGAACUGGUUCAUGUAGAUGUUUGGGGACCAUAUAGAAAGCCUACUUUUGACAAGAAAUAUUAUUUUGUUACUAUAGUAGAUGACUAUAGCAGGUACACAUGGUUAUGUCUCAUUCAUUCCAAGAGUGAAGUCAUUGUAGUACUCAAAGAUUUCAUUGCUUUAAUAAAAAAUCAGUUUGGCUUGUCUGUGAAAGCUUUAAGGUCUGAUGAUGGUACCGAAUUUUUCAGUUCAUCAGUUGUUGAUUUACUUGCUUCAUGUGGUAUUGUACAUCAAAGUAGUUGCGUUUAUACCCCACAACAGAAUGGUACAGUAGAAAGGAAACACAGACAUAUCUUGGAAGUUGCAAGGGCUUUAAAGUUUCAAAGCUCUCUUCCUAUUCAUUUUUGGGGUGAGUGUGUUAGGACUGCUGUGUACUUGAUAAAUAAAUUGCCUACUGAAGUGCUGGGAGGGAGAUCACCUUAUGAGAUGCUACAUCAGAAAAUACCUGGUAUUGAUCAUUUAAGAGUGUUUGGUUGCCUAUGCUAUGCAACUAGGUUGCCUAAAGGAGAUAAGUUUGCCCCUAGAGCUAGAAAGUCAGUUUUUCUAGGAUAUUCUGAAGUUCAAAAGGGUUACAGAUUAUAUGAUUUAAUUGAGCAGACAUUCUUUGUGAGCAGAGAUGUGGUCUUCAAAGAGAAUAUUUUUCCUUAUCAAACAGAUACAUUGUCUCCUGAGUCAGACAUGUUUGAGUUAAAUAGCUCAGAAUUGAGUCAUGUAUAUUCAAAUGAGGAUGUGGUGUUCGAUACAACAGUGGUUGAACCAUCUGUCUGUGGUAUUGAACCACCCGAGGUUGAUGCAGUUCCUGAUGUUGUCACUGCAGUCACAGAGGAUAGUGAUUCACUAUAUGAAGGGAAUCCAAUCUCAUCACCAGAUAUACAACCUGUCAUUAUUCCAUAAACACAUGUCAGACCUCCCAGAAACAUCAAACCACCUAGUUGGCUUGAUGACUACAUUACUAAUCCUAAGAAAUCUGCCAAUUGUACAUAUCCCAUCUCAAAUUACCUUCAAUAUUCUCAUCUGUCAGCAGCUUACCAAGCCUAUUUAGGUACUUUUUCUCAACCAGUUGAGCCUAAAUCCUUCAAGGAAGCAUCUUUAGAUGACAGGUGGGUCGCAGCUAUGAGUGAUGAAAUUGCUGCCCUUGAGAGCAAUCACACCUGGGAUAUAGUCGAUUUGCCACCAGGUAAACAAGCCAUUGGUUCUAAGUGGGUAUUCAAGAUCAAACACAAUGCUGAUGGAUCUAUAGACAAGUACAAGGCAAGGUUGGUAGCUAAGGGGUACAAUCAAAAGGAGGGGUUAGACUAUCAUGAGACUUUCUCACCAGUUGCCAAAAUGGUAACAGUGAGAACUCUCAUUACAAUUGCAGCUUCCAAAGAUUGGCCUCUCAUUCAGAUGGAUGUUAACAAUGCAUUCCUACAAGGUGAUUUAUAUGAAGAGGUUUAUAUGGCUUUGCCACAAGGGUUUCACAGACAGGGGGAGACUAAAGUAUGCAAACUGACCAAGUCUUUAUAUGGAUUAAAGCAGGCCUCUAGACAAUGGAAUAUUAAAUUGUCUACUGCUCUACUGGAAACAGGCUAUGUUCAGAAUUCACAUGAUCAUUCCUUGUUCACAAAACAUUCAGGAGAUGAUAUAGUGAUGAUCCUUGUAUAUGUUGAUGAUUUGUUAAUUACAGGAAACAGUCAAAGUUUGAUUGAGGAUGCUCAAAAGACUCUACACAACAAAUUUAAAGUGAAAGACUUGGGGCAACUUAGAUACUUCCUAGGAAUUGAGAUAUUGAGAUCAGAUAAGGGAAUCUUACUCAAUCAGAGAAAGUACACCUUGGAACUGCUGUCCACAGUGGGGUUAGGUGGUGCUAAGCCAGUUUUUACUCCUAUGGAGAUGAACACAAAGCUUACUACAAUAGAGUAUGACUCAAUGGUUGGAAAUAAAGAUGAUCCUGUACUAACUGAUGUACAUAGCUAUCAACAGUUGAUAGGGAAGCUGAUUUACUUAACAAUCACCAGGCCAGACAUUUGUUUUGCAGUACAGGUCCUAAGUCAAUUUAUGCAACAUCCCAAGAAGUCACAUUGGGAUGCAGCACUAAGAGUCCUUAGAUACCUGAAGGGAUCACCAGGACAAGGAGUAUUAUUGAAGAAAGGACCAAUUACAAACUUGACAGCCUUCUGUGAUUCAGACUGGGCUGCAUGCCCCAAUACUAGGAGAUCAGUAACAGGAUAUGUUAUUAUGCUUGGAGAGUCUAUGGUCUCAUGGAAAUCAAAGAAGCAACAUACAGUGAGUAGGAGCUCAGCUGAGGCUGAGUACAGAAGUAUGGCAGGGGCAGUAUCAGAAAUUAUUUGGUUAGUUGGUUUACUGAAAGAUCUGAAAAUAGAUGUCACUACUCCAGUCAGGUUGUGUUGUGAUAGCAAAGCAGCUAUGCAAAUUGCUUCAAACCCAAUCUUUCAUGAAAGGACUAAGCAUAUUGAAAUAGAUUGUCAUUUUGUGAGAGAGAAGCUCAAAGAUGGCCUAAUCAAACCAGAGUUUGUUGGCACUAAAUCUCAGUUGGCAGACUUGCUUACAAAAGGCUUAGGAACAGUACAACAUCAUUUUCUUCUGUCCAAGUUAGGAGUUCUUGAUGUUUUCCAUCCUAGCUUGAGGGGGAGUAUUAAGUCUUAAGAAGUCAUUAAGUCGGUUAGUUAGCUCAUUAAUUGAAUAGUCAGUUAGUUAGUUAUUAAAAUCUGUUGUAACUAACUACACUGCUUGUAACUAACUACACUGCAGAAAGCCAGCUAAGGCAUCGUGUAUAAAUAGACAUUCAAUUGUCAUUGUUGACACAAGAAAUAAAAUUCCUUUCUAUCCUUUGUUCAAAGUGCUCUCAAUUCAAUUGUUCAUCAUCUGUGAUUGAUGAAAGUUAACAUCUUCUAUUCAUUGUAGAGGGGGGGAUUUUUUUUUUUGGAGUUGAAAAUUUUAGAAAAAGAAACAUUGAGAAGUAGCGAGAAAGCAAGAAGAAAAUAUUGGAGAAAAGUGGGGAGUUUUUCUUGAGCGAUUUUUACACUUGAGAAAUUUGGAAUACAUUUUAGUUUUUGGUUUGUAAGAGCCUUUGCUCGAAGUCAGUUCGGAUAUCCCGAUUGUUUGCUCGAUUUUUUGAAGUGGUGUAAGAGGUCGCCGCUCGUUUCGGCUCGUUCUGUCUCGGCUUCGUUGCACCUUUAAAGGUAACACCUCUUUCUUUGUAUGAUUUUUCUUCCUUUAUAUUUUAAGAUGGUGUUUUACUUGUAUCCUGGAAGUUUGCUUCCUGCUGAUAGUUAUUAAGUUCUUGACGUUCUGAUACACCUUAGUUGCGAUACUCUAGUUAUUUCGAGUAUCGUUUUCGAUCUUGUUGAUUCGUGCCUAGAUUUGCUGCUUCUUUGUUGGUUUUAUUUAAGGGUGUUUCACUAAUCUUUUCUUGAAUUUAUUGGUUUGAAUUCCACCGAGCAUGUAUGCUUCGUUUCACUCGUUCAUUAACGUCAGCAUCUGUAGGCUCUCCCUUUGCUGCUUGCCUUUGCUUAACCUGUUCAACAAGUAUGUUUGUCCAGUUUAGCGAUUGAUUGAGAGUGUUCAAUGUCUAUUGCUGUUUUUGAAGUAAAAUUGCAGCUUUGCAUCGGGUUAUUUAAGUAUCGGCUAAUCGUCCUAUGUUUUUGAGGCAUAGUAAUUAAUUUUCUUGCAUGUUGCCGCUAAUUAAAAUUGCAAUGGCUCUUCUAUCUUUGUCUAAAUCUAAAGAUGUCUCCUGAUGUUGGCUCGCCAUCUAUCUUGGCCAUUUACGUGUUUCUUUGCUUAAUAAUGCCCCUUUUCUCUGCAUUUUUCUUGUAUUUAUUCAUGUCUACUCGUGUUUGUGUCCGGCAUGCUCUUUAUCCCUUAAUGAUCUCAUCACUGGCUCCCCAACUUGUUUGGAAUUUGAUCCCGCCAUCAGUAAUUAAUUUUGUUUUCUGUACUGAAAGUCCCGGGUGACAAUUACUUAAGAAUGUGGAGAAUGACAGCCUUUAUUGUGCUAUUAGUCUCCUCGUCUGCAAUAAGUUGAUUUUUUCAGCUAAAAGUAGUAUUGUUGAGAUAAAUAUUUAACAAAGAUUCCGACUUGUUCAUCUUAUGUCUAAAAAACAAUAAUCAUAUCCCUUGGCUGAUUCACGUGUUUCCCGAAGUGUGCUAAGUAAUGAGUUGUUUCGGUCUCAAAUGUAUAUCCUGGCUGCCGUAGUUGCCAAAUUGGACUUUAGUAAUUUCAUGUUGUCUUUUUCCUUUGGUCUACAAUUUAAAAUUUAAUUAUUAUUUUUUCUAUGUGUCCACACUUGCCUAUUUCAACUACUGGUAAUUUGCUAAAAAAUGGAGUGAGUCGGAGGCAAUAGUAUAAGCGUGAGGAGUCUGGUCAUCUCGGCUUGCUCUUGGUUUUUCUUUUCAUGUAUUUGCAUUUUUUGUUCACAGCUACUGCUAGUUGCUUGCAAUAUAAAUGGGUUAUGUUCCUUUUGAUACGUUCAUCAUUUAGUGACUAGUUCUGAGAUGUUAUUACUGGUUACUGAUUCUCUUGUUCUUUUCUUCGUUUUGCAUGAAAAAUCUGUCUGAGUUCAUUACGAACUCCUAUCUUCCCUCUUGCAUUUUGGGAGAGCCGCAAAGGCUCAAAAACUCCCUUUAUCGAGUUAGCCGGCCACUAAAAUCAAAGAACAAGUCCCUCAAAUCGACGAACAGGUCCCAAAGGUGGGGAAAUGCGGAAGCGGAGGAUAAUUGAAAAGAUCGGGCCAAAGGCCCACUCUUUAUAUAAAGAGGAUUGUAUUUUUUAUUUAUUAGGCCUAAGUCCAGUUAUUUGCUAUUAUAUUGUUAGAAUUUAGGACAGGUGGCGAGAAUUGGGCCUUGUGGCCCAAAAUGAAAUUAGGCCCAAGUGUUGGUCCAGGCGGACAGAAAAAUCAAACUUGGGCCCGAGUCUCUUUCCCUUUCUAUUUUAUUGUGUUUAUCUACUAGUUAAUAUUUGCCAUUAAUCUUAAGAUUAACAAUUCAAAUCCCCAAAAGACGCUCAUUUUCGCUUUAAAUCUUUUUUACUAAACCAUUCAUCUCUUAACAAGACUUAAAGAAAUAAUUUUAUAAGAUAACCACUCAGAUAAUAUUUAAAUAUUUCCCUUUUUUCCUUUUUAAAAAAAAAAUAGCUCUAACUAUAAAAUAGUUCAAUCAUGUUAUUCGAAUUAAGUUAAAGUAUUUUUAGCCAAAUAAUUAAUUGUCGGAUAACCGCUUAUUAGCGGGGAUUUUGGGUGCUUUCAAAUCCUUUCUGAAAUGCUAAUAUGAACCUCGAACCCCCUUAAAUAUUUUUCAAUUGAUUUCCUGUUUUAAUCAUUUGAAAAUCAGAUUUCUUGAUUUUUCUUAAAAAUUAAGUGGCGACUUUUAAAAACAGUCUUAAAUUAUUUUAAAAUAAAACAGUUAGUGUUACUAUUUGUUAAUCAAAUCCACAAAUAAAAUUAUCUUUAUAUUAUUAAGUUUUAUUUCAAGUAAAAGCAUAAAUAGCUAAAUAAAAAUAUUAACCUAAUUAUUUUUCAAUAAUCAUAAUAAAAUAUAAAAACUAUGACAAUAUUCCAUAGGCUACGUAGUGAUUCCUAGAAAUUUUAGGAAAAUUUUAUUUUAUGUAAUACAUAUUUUAUAAACAUAAUUUAUAUUUAGAUUGUAAUAUUUCAAACUUUAGACUGAUUUUGAGUUUAGACUCUUGUUAUUUUUAAUACUCUAUUUAUUAUUUAUUUUUAAUUAAUUUUUAUUUGGCUCACGGGUUGGCCCCCUAUCCAUAUUUCUCAAGCCCCUCAAAUUGGCAGACUUAUUCAGGCCAGGCUAAAAAAUCACCUUUUUCUUAAAUGGGCUCCAAAAAUCAUAGCCCAACCCUAUCAAAUCACGGGUUAGGCUAGGCCGGCCCAACGGGCCUAGCCCAUAUUGACGGCUCUAUAAACAACUAAUAAAACUAAUUGGAUCAUUCUUACUGCACCAUUGGUCCUAAUCCUAUACCUAUCAUACUGAUAUAGAGGCGAAUUCAGAACUUAAAAUUUAUGAAUUCUUAUAAAAAAAAAACUAAAAUUUAUGAACGAUAUAAUUGAGUUCAUAAUCAAAUUAUACUAAAUACUUAAUGAUUUUCUUAGUACAUAUAAAUAAUAUGAAUAAAAUCUAUUGAGUUCACACUAACCUCUCUAUAGUGUGGCAGGUAAAAUCAAUAAUUUUGAUCCAAAUUGUACUUUGUAUUUAUGAUAAUAAAUUUGUUUGUUAUGUGUAAAAAAAUAUUCGGAACCCAAUCCGACCAGUAAACGCCAGUAGUAGUCAUAGUAUUUGGAACAAAGAAAAGCAAGGGAAUAACAAACCAUAUCUUCUGCUCCAACUUCAUUUUCUUAUAGUAUUUUUGGAGGGAAAAAAGGGAAUACAAAUUAAAUAUUAUCAGAAUGCCAACCAAAUACUGACAUUGUGCUCUAUCUUUACUGUGGAAAAAAAUUAAAUGUAAUUUAUUUAUGCAGUUUUUUAAUCUUCCAGGGGUCCCAUUUUUCUAUAGAUUGAAUUAUCUUUAAUAUUUUAUGACAAAAUACUGUAAAGUGGUGUAUAGUGGCAUAUAUAUAUACCAUUUGUAUAUUCCUCAAAAUCAUGAUAAUACCAUUUGUUUCUAACUUUUUAAUUGUACUAAUUGAAUAGAUUAACUGUACAAUAUACUUUUGUUUAGUUCAAAAUUUUCCUCUUUGUACUUUAAGCUUUGGUGUCUAUUGUUUUCCACAUUUUAUGAGGUGUUAGGACUAGCAAAAGGCAUAAUACAUAAACAUACAUUCAAACUAGGUCUUAGUUAGAGUGAUCAUUUAGACACCUCCAAAAUUUAUGUAUCACGUCAGUAUAGGGUGUCCACGAGACACAUUAAGGAUGAGUUGGAGUGUUUAGCUGUUAGUUGAGAUGUCUAGAUGUACAUUCUCAAUUAGUUACGGUUGCGAAAUUUUAAUUGGAUGACAAAACUAGGAUCGAAGUUUCGAGUGUUUGGCAUCUGACAGAUGAAAAAAAAAAUCUGAAAUUUAAGAACAAACUUUUUCUUACAUAACGAACACAUGAAAAUAAGUAAGAAACGUACUUAUUCUCCGGAAAAACAUUUUCCAAUAAGACAUUUUAGAGGCAUUGUUAUCAUUUGGUAGAUCCAGGUCCAUGACCUAUUUCUAUGGAACACAUUUUCCAUGGUACUGAACACACUCUCAGAACUUUGCUCGUUGAUAUCCACUAAUACGGACCUCACUUGUAGGAUUUCAUUGGAUAUGUUGUCGUUGUUUGAGUUGAUAUGCCCUGCUGAAAGUCUUUGUGGGUAGGAGGGAGUAUAAGAAUGAUCCACAACUCCCGGCAACGAUGUAACAUUACCAUGUUGGUCCAAGUAUAACAAAUGGAUCCCUAUUUUCUUUACUGUGCCUCUGCCAGUUUCAUUCUCUACUGUUAUCUGUUCCCCGCCUUUGAUAUUCAGGCCUUUAAAAGGUGUAUCAUUUGAGUAAGAGAAGUAAUAUACAUAUGAUACUUCGUGACUGUCAGAUCUAUCACAAGGCCAAAUCCAUGAAAAACCUGAACGCUUUAUAUGGGCAACAGUAACAGCGAAGUGUAUAAGCUCAUGUACAUCGCAAAGGCGGCAAACAAACCAGAGAACCAUUCCUAAGAACUUGUUAUUAUGUACUGUGGGCAUAGUCAAACAGAUAGAUGUAGCUGUUACUUUAUUGCUGCACCAAUCUGGAAUCUCAUUGCUUUCGUGAUUAAUUUGUAAUGACAGCUUCAUCAGACAAAUUAAGACGCAAUUAGAUCAUUAAUUAUUAAUAUGAUACGAGAGAUAGAUCAUUAAUUAUUAAUAUGAUACUAACCUCAUACCGUUGAUGUUUUCUAGACGGAAUUGAUAGAGCAUGGGCACUAAAGAAGCCUUCAUUGAAUGGAUUCUGCAGAAGAGUACAAUUAAUCAUGCCCAUCUUCUCUAUUGAAGGGAGGUUGUCCAACCCUGUAAUCUUGACCAGUUUUUGGCAAUUCCUAAGUUCAAGAGUUGUAAGGUACUUUAAAUUUGAUAUUGACGGGAGUGUUUGAAGGUUCUCACAAUCAUUCAAAUGCAAGGAACUCAACCGUGGUAACUUGGAAAAAUCAAAGGGUAGAUUGAGGAAACUGUUGCCGCUCAAAUCUAAAUCAUGUAAGUUGGAUAAACUCCCAAUAUCCCUAGGAACAUCAGCCUCCGAGAAACCACAAUAUCGAAGGCUUAACAUCGUAAUAAAAAUUGGCAAGAAUUCUACGCAGCGGACUCUUCUUUGAGAAAACCUCCUUUUGGUCUCCAAGUAUUGACCUCCUAAUUCCAAAAUUAUAAGAUUUCCUAGCAUUUCAACAGAUCCAGGCAAUUCUUUUAUACCUGUUUCACCUGCAUUAAGAAUACUUAGGCUUUGCAUAUCUCCAAUGUCAACUGGCAGUGUUUGUAAAGAUAAGCAGUCAUUAAUGUACAAGUAUUGAAGGGAUUUUAGCUGGCAUAUGCUGCUCGGAAGAUCCGUAAUCUUUUUGCAACCAUUCAAUUUAAGAUCAGUUAGUCUGUCCAAAUUUCCUAUUGAUGGAUGAAUCUCCUUUAGACUUGAGCAAUUCUCAAGCCACAAAGUCUUGAGACUUCGUGAACCGUUGAAGUUUGGAGUUUUUCUAAGGCUCUUGCAAUCAGAGAGAUCCAGCUUUUUCAAAUUUCUACAAUACUAAAAGUAAACAAAAUAUUGUUUCAAUUAAGAUUUUCUUUCUCUUAAACAUUACACAUAAAAUUGCAGAAUUGAGUAACGGACCUGCAAAUUCAAACCAAAUUCUUGGAUAUUGCUCCCUUUCAUAUUCAGAAAUACAAGUUUCUCAGAUGGAAAAUUUGACGGUAUACAUUUUAAAGGACAUCCUUUCCAAGACAGCCAUCUGAGCUCCUUGGACAAUAGCUCAAAAUCUCCACUAAUAUGUAA